UACAGAGGGUGCGAGCGUUAAUCGGAAUUACUGGGCGUAAAGCGUGCGUAGACGGUUAUUUAAGUCGGGUGUGAAAGCCCCGGGCUCAACCUGGGAAUUGCAUUCGAGACUGAAUAGCUAGGGUACGGUAGAGGGAAGUGGAAUUUCCGGUGUAGCGGUGAAAUGCGUAGAUAUCAGGAGGAACACCGGUGGCGAAGGCGGGGUCUCUGGGGCCGAUACUGACGCUGAGGAGCGAAAGCGUGGGGAGCGAACAGG
rnacentral:rRNA from 1 species